GAUGAACGCUGGCGGCGUGCCUAAUACAUGCAAGUCGAGCGAACGGACGAGAAGCUUGCUUCUCUGAUGUUAGCGGCGGACGGGUGAGUAACACGUGGAUAACCUACCUAUAAGACUGGGAUAACUUCGGGAAACCGGAGCUAAUACCGGAUAAUAUUUUGAACCGCAUGGUUCAAAAGUGAAAGACGGUCUUGCUGUCACUUAUAGAUGGAUCCGCGCUGCAUUAGCUAGUUGGUAAGGUAACGGCUUACCAAGGCAACGAUGCAUAACCGACCUGAGAGGGUGAUCGGCCACACUGGAACUGAGACACGGUCCAGACUCCUACGGGAGGCAGCAGUAGGGAAUCUUGCGCAAUGGGCGAAAGCCUGACGGAGCAACGCCGCGUGAGUGAUGAAGGUCUUCGGAUCGUAAAACUCUGUUAUUAGGGAAGAACAUAUGUGUAAGUAACUGUGCACAUCUUGACGGUACCUAAUCAGAAAGCCACGGCUAACUACGUG
rnacentral:rRNA from 1 species